GGGAUAUACCCUCAGGAAACAUGAUUCAUACCUACGCUGCCUUCUUUUUUAGUAGCUCCUGUGAGACCAGCUGCUAUUGAUUAUGUUCAUCCUGUCCUACACCCUAAUCCAGGAAAGACACCUCUCUUUGUUCUGUGAGAGGAAACCUGGAUCCAAACUGGGAUUCUGGCCUAAUCUGUGCAAUGAGAGAGGUUGGGUGC